rnacentral:rRNA from 1 species
CACAUGCAAGUCGAGCGGAUGAAGAGAGCUUGCUCUCUGAUUCAGCGGCGGACGGGUGAGUAAUGCCUAGGAAUCUGCCUGGUAGUGGGGGACAACGUUUCGAAAGGAACGCUAAUACCGCAUACGUCCUACGGGAGAAAGCAGGGGACCUUCGGGCCUUGCGCUAUCAGAUGAGCCUAGGUCGGAUUAGCUAGUUGGUGAGGUAAUGGCUCACCAAGGCGACGAUCCGUAACUGGUCUGAGAGGAUGAUCAGUCACACUGGAACUGAGACACGGUCCAGACUCCUACGGGAGGCAGCAGUGGGGAAUAUUGGACAAUGGGCGAAAGCCUGAUCCAGCCAUGCCGCGUGUGUGAAGAAGGUCUUCGGAUUGUAAAGCACUUUAAGUUGGGAGGAAGGGUUGUAGAUUAAUACUCUGCAAUUUUGACGUUACCGACAGAAUAAGCACCGGCUAACUCUGUGCCAGCAGCCGCGGUAAUACAGAGGGUGCAAGCGUUAAUCGGAAUUACUGGGCGUAAAGCGCGCGUAGGUGGUUUG